rnacentral:lncRNA from 1 species
ACUGCAAGGAUCCUGGGAAAAUGAUUGUACAUUCACAUCAUGCCAUCAUCUAAGUACAUGGAAAAUGCUUUUAUAGGAUGCUGAAGAUUUGCCACCAAACUACAAGGGCUUUACACCACAUCUCCAACAAUCUCUGUCACUAACAAGUGAGGAAAGAGUCCCCCUUGAGGUCACCUGCAAUUUCAAGAGUGGAAACAUCAAGAAAUCUGGUCAUGACCAGGCAGUUGUGGCAGUGACAACUUCUCCAUGGUUUAUUUCUGUUUCACAGUAUUUGGUAUCACAGUCUACUUAGAAAUAAGCGAAGUUUGAUAAAAAUGUGGCAUUUGCACCCAGUUUCUGGGGAAGACGUGGGACAUGAGAUACACAUUUGGAAAAAUCUCAAGAUUGCAGGUGAACAAUUACACACAGGGAGAUGUUGGAGGGAUCUCAAGGCAGAGAAAUUGCAGCUGUGUGGGAAAUUGUAUAUAUCUGGAUGCAUUCACUGUGGAAUUGACUGCAAAGGUGCAGCACUGCAGACAUCCUCAGUCCUUGAAAGGGGACACUGUUCCUCUCUCAAAGCCUUUCUCUGUGCUGUCCCAUGUGAGGGAGGUUUUAGGGGCUGCAAGCCCCUGAAGGUGAGCAGCACAGCCAGCUGGGGUGCUCUCAUCCCCCAGAGCUGUGUUGGGAAGCAGCACUGACCUGCACCAGCUGAGGAUGUGACCAAGCUCUUCCACAGCCUAACCUCAUUAACACAGCAGCAAGUGCACUCAUUGUGACUAAAUCUCCUUCUUCUCAAGUAAACAUAUGCUGAGGUUUGUGCAUUAUCACUUUGAAAUAAGAUUUUCCCAACUUUGCUAAUUAGCAGCGUUGCCCAAACAGAGAGAAACAUAUGGCUCGUGCCAUGCUGACUUGAAGGCUUUGGAGUUCCACUGGAGAAUAAUUAAAGUGAUUUUGAUUUACUGGCAUGAUGAAGUACGAGCCACUCUCAUUUGGCCUUGUGUCUAGAAGCUCUGAGACAAUAAGGCACCUUAGCAGGAGAGCUGUAAUAAUUAACACGAGCCAGAUUGUUAUUAUUGAGGUAGCUUUGUUGCCAUUAACAAUCAUUUGUAAUUAUAAAGAGGCUUUACAUAAUUCAUGCUAAAAUCUCAUGUUUACCUGUAG